rnacentral:tRNA from 2 species
UGGAGUAUCGCCAAGCGGUAAGGCAGCGGGUUUUGAUCCCGCCAUUCCCAGGUUCAAAUCCUGUACUCCAGCCA